GCACCAAUGAGCAGAGGUGGUCCUCUGCUGCGACUUCAAAUCGCAGGGUGCCGGGAGGCACAGACGUUCAAUUCGUCCUUUGGUGC
rnacentral:tRNA from 1 species